GAGAGAGAGAGAGAGAGAGAGAGAGCUUACCUUCAUCUUGUUAGAGGAAUUUUGAUGGAAAGCAUAGAGGAAAGGCUAAGGUUAAAGAAAGAAAGAACAACAAAGAAGAAAUGAGGAAAAUUAUCAUGAGAUUAUCAAUCAAGAACUUUAGUGGUUGCAUUUGAAGCUCCAACUUUGGCAGUGGAAGCUGUUCUUCAGUCAUUUCCUGAUGUCUCUUUUUUGGAGAAAGCUACUUCAAAGGUUAAUAUAGAAGACAUUUAUUUUUGUACAAUCCUUUGUUUUGGAAAUCCAGUGUUUUUGUAUGUAAUAUUUAAUUUAGAUGGAUUAUACUUGGUUGGUAUGGAUUUAUAUGAUAUUCGGAAUAUGAUAUUACAAGUUAAAGUUUUUAGAUA